rnacentral:lncRNA from 1 species
CUGAUGCGCCAUGUCAGACCUAGGCGUGCUGACUUUGCUUCUGUGCAUGCAGGGAAGGGAACAGAAAAGAGCCAUGAGUUAAAACUGGAUUUUCUGUUCCUAAUUUAUGCCAUGAGAGCCUUGACUACAACUUAAUUGGGAGCUCCAAAAUGGUGGAGAAAUAGCUACUGAGGUACGCAGUGCUGGCAGAAAGCUGGAGUCAGGAACUGCAAUCCAAAAGGCUUCAGAAAAUCAAUGUGCUGAAUGAAGGAGGAGCUGAACCAAAUCGUUUCCCACCAAGUGGCAUAGAAAGA